AACGAACGUUGGCGGCGUGGAUUAGGCAUGCAAGUCGAACGAAUCUUGCUCGUGUAGCAAUACAUGAGCAAGAGAAGUGGCGAAAGGGGCAGUAAUGUUUGGAUAACCUACCCUGAGGUCGCGGAUAGCCUUCCUAACGGAUGGGUAAUACGUGGCGUUGUACUGAAGAGGCAUCUCUUUGAUACCAAAGAAUUUCGCCUCAGGAGGGGUCCAAAUGAUAUUAGCUAGUUGGUGAGGUAACGGCUCACCAAGGCGAAGAUGUCUAGCGGGUGUGAGAGCACGACCCGCGUCACUGGCACUGAGACACUGGCCAGACUCCUACGGGAGGCUG
rnacentral:rRNA from 1 species